AAGCAACAAUGUUGUCCACUAGAUGUGCCUUGCUAGCUGGCACCCUAUGUCUAAGGUUGGAAAAAUCCUUUACAAAUCUAUGUCUCCAAGAGUCUAGAGAGGGUGUCACAUUCUCAAAACAUUUGUUGUUUCUUUCUUUCCACAGACUAUAGGCUGCCACCAGGAAGGUCUCCAUGAACAUCUUCCGGGGAUAUAUCAUCUUCUAGUGUUGCAACACCUCUAGUCUAUGA
rnacentral:lncRNA from 1 species